rnacentral:rRNA from 1 species
UACGGGGGGGGCAAGCGUUGUUCGGAAUUACUGGGCGUAAAGGGCUCGUAGGCGGCCAACUAAGUCAGACGUGAAAUCCCUCGGCUUAACCGGGGAACUGCGUCUGAUACUGGAUGGCUAGAGAUUGGGAGAGGGAUGCGGAAUUCCAGGUGUAGCGGUGAAAUGCGUAGAUAUCUGGAGGAACACCGGUGGCGAAGGCGGCAUCCUGGACCGGCAUUGACGCUGAGGCGCGAAAGCCAGGGGAGCAAACGGG